CCUCCCUCUUCCUUCUCUCUCCUUUCUAAUUCUUUGAUCUCUCAUUCCUCUCUUCUUCAUCAUCGUCACCAUAGAUCAUUAUCAUCUUCAUCUUCACCGUUGAUCAUCAUCAUCGUCAUCAUUGAUCUCCUUCAUCACCGAUCUCCUUCAUCAUCGAUCUCCUCAUCAUCGACGAAAAUUGGUGGUUUUUUUUUUAUUUGGUUUUUUUAAUCUUUUCUCCUCAAAUUUUCGUCAUAAAAUUUGUAUUUUUUUGGAUUUAAUUUGAUUUGGAUCUGAUUCGGGGAUUUGAUUUUAAAUUUGAUUUUAGUUUUUAAAUUUGAUUUUGGUUUUUUUAUUUUGAUUUUGAUUUUUUAUUUUGAUUUUCGUUUUUUAUUUUGAUUUUCGUUUUUAAAUCUGAUUUUCGUUUUCUUAUGUAAUUUUUGUUUUUUUAUUUUCGAUUUUUUAAUUUGGGGAUUUAUUUUUGAUUUGGGGAUCUUUUUUAAAUUGAUUUUCGUUUUUUAAUUUGAUUUUAGUUUUUAAAUUUGAUUUUCGUUUUUAAAUUUGAUUUUUGUUUUAAUUUUGAUUUUUGUUUUUUAAUUUGAUUUUCGUAUGUUAUAUUUAUUUUGAUUUUUAUUUUUAAUCUGAUUUCGUUUUUCUUAUGUAAUUUUCAUGUUUUAGAUUUGAAUUAUUUCAACCAAUAUUUUGGGAACUAAAUCUUCAUGGUUCUGUCUAUGUGUGUGUUAUUUUUCAAUUCUUGUUGAUGGGAUUUUGUUUCUUCUUUUAUAAUCAGAGUUGAGAAGAACAAUCGUGGAUUUGGUAUCACUACUACAGAAAUAUGCUUUUAUAGCGUUUUUUUAAUAGCGCUUUUACCCAUUUUGCUGUUAAAGAUAUGAUAAUGUAUUUAAUAGUGCUUUUAAGAUAAACUCUAUCAUAUGUACAUUCUAUUAUAGUGUUUUCAAAUAAAACGCUAUUAAACGUUUAAGAAAAAAAAAUAAAAAAAUAAAAGAACCGCCUAUGAGAAAAUUAAAGGACGGCUUAUUCAUGUCUCUCACGGAGAUUGCUCUACGCCUCCUAACCUCACCUCCUCGAAUCUCCAUCUCUCUCCUCCUUAAACCAGCCCCUCUCUCCUCCUCUACCGUCAUUGAUCUUGUAGGGUCUAUGGAAACGGUGUCGCGACGGUGGCGUUGUGAGGGAUAGAUGUCGGUGCUUGUGGCUAUGUAAUUCCAAGAUUAGGGUUUCUAUUUUGGUUUAUUCGGGUAUGAGCUUCUUCAAUUUUCUCUCAUCAUGUUUUUAAUUUGGGUUCUUUUGCAUAGUUCACUAGUUUAAAUGUUAGGUAUCAUCAGACAAGCAAAUGGUUGCCAAAUUAAUGAAUGCGAUUCGGUAUUCUCGCUAUGGCGGUGGAACUACUGCUUUAAAGCAUGCAUGUUAAGAUUGAUGUUCCUGAUCUAAAGGCCGAUGAGGUUUUGCUAAAGGUUGAGGUUGUAUCUUUAAACGCAUUUGAUUGGAAGAUACAAAAGGGCAUACCUCGUCCCAUAUUACCCAGAAAGUUCCCUUAUGUACCAGUACUUUUCAGAUUGUCAGUUUCCAAGUUAUGACAAGGAGCAGAUUGGAGAAGUAAGAACUGAGUGGGUGCGCCAUGUUGUUCAACAAUUGUAUAAUCGCUAGGUUACGUUGAUUGAACCAAAAAACAUACAACUUUAUUAAUUAAUGUACUUUGCGUAGUUUAAUGUUUAGAAUUUUAUUUGUGAUCUAUGUAAUCGGUUUUAUUAGGGUGACUAUUGCAAAAAUUCUUUCCA